rnacentral:rRNA from 1 species
UACGAAGGGGGCUAGCGUUGCUCGGAAUUACUGGGCGUAAAGCGCACGUAGGCGGCUCUUUAAGUCGGAGGUGAAAUCCUGGAGCUCAACUCCAGAACUGCCUUCGAUACUGAAGAGCUCGAGUCCGGGAGAGGUGAGUGGAACUCCUAGUGUAGAGGUGAAAUUCGUAGAUAUUAGGAAGAACACCAGUGGCGAAGGCGGCUCACUGGCCCGGUACUGACGCUGAGGUACGAAAGCGUGGGGAGCAAACAGG